GAUGAACGCUAGCGGGAGGCCUAAUACAUGCAAGUCGAACGGUAACAGGAUAGCAAUAUCGCUGACGAGUGGCGCACGGGUGCGUAACACGUACACAAUCUGCCUUAUACUGGAGCAUACCCCCAAGAAAUUGGGACUAAUUCUCCAUAACAUAUUUGGAUGGCAUCAUUUGAAUAUUAAAACUCCGGUGGUAUAAGAUGAGUGUGCGUCCGAUUAGGUAGUUGGUGAGGUAACGGCUCACCAAGCCAACGAUCGGUAGCUGGUCUGAGAGGACGAUCAGCCACACGGGCACUGAGACACGGGCCCGACUCCUACGGGAGGCAGCAGUAGGGAAUAUUGGACAAUGGGCGCAAGCCUGAUCCAGCCAUCCCGCGUGAAGGAUUAAGGCCCUCUGGGUUGUAAACUUCUUUUCUCUGGGAAUAAAAAGUGGGAUUCUUCCCGCCUUGAAGGUACCAGAGGAAUAAGCACCGGCUAACUCCGUGCCAGCAGCCGCGGUAAAAC
rnacentral:rRNA from 1 species